GUCUCUGUGGCGCAAUCGGUUAGCGCGUUCGGCUGUUAACCGAAAGGUUGGUGAAAGGUUGGUGGUUCAAGCCCACCCAGGGACG